GGGAUGCACGAAUGCAAAUGUAGUCCUUUGUGUGUUAUUAUAACAUAAUCUAAAGAGAAUGAUAACAUAUUGGACAUGUAAUAGGAUGUUGUAUCAAGUUAUUAAUGUUUAUAUGGUGCAAUGACAUGAUCACUUAAGUAGUUGUAAUAAAGCUAAAAUGUGAUGCUCAUUAAAAGAUGUGAUGUUGUUUAAACUUAAACUUAGUUAGUGAGCUCCACUAAACGUGGG
rnacentral:lncRNA from 1 species